rnacentral:tRNA from 2 species
AUUUAUUUAGUAUAAAAAGUAUAACUGAUUUCCAAUCAGAAGGUUUAUAAAUUAAAAUAAAUA